rnacentral:snoRNA from 1 species
CAGCAGGAUUUAGACUACAAUACAGCUGUUAAGUCCUAUUUUGUCAUUCCCCCUGCUCAAAGUAAAAUUGUUUCUUAUCUAUCUCUGUCUGCUAGUUUUUUGUAACAGCCCAGGGACACUUAGUCUCACACAU